UAAAAGUAGGCGGGACUAAUGAGUUGACUGGGCGGGGCUAAAUGAGAGACAGUAGCGCAGUUAGCUUAGCAAGCAGAUGUUCAAUUGGUGGUUUUGCUGUCGUCGGUAAGGGAGCUUUGAAGUCAGUGACUGUUGUGUUAAAUAUCGUAACCCCGAUGAACCGGAUUCGGAUACACGUGCUGCCGUCCAGCCGGGGCCGAGCAUCGCAGGCCGCGCGCGCCCACGAGCCCCAGACGUGCGCAUUCACGCACAGAGCGUGCACUCAGCCUCGCAUAGAAGGCUGGGACUUUUGCAUCAAGCACAUCCUGGAAGACAAAAACGCACCAUACAAACAGUGCAGCUAUGUCUCCAGUAAGAACGGCAAACGAUGUCCCAAUGCUGCACCAAAACCUGAUAAGAAGGACGGAUCUGUGAUUUGUGCUGAGCAUGCACACAGGAAUGCUUUGGCUCUGCAGGCACAGAUGCGAAAGGCCUCCCCUGGACCGUCCCCUGAGAUCCUGCUGUCUCAGCUCAGCGGCUACAACAGAACAGAGAUUGGAGCUCUUGGCCAAGAUGGCCGCGUUGAAGCAAACCGUAUUCUAGAUGAAGACAGCUGGAGUGAAGAUGAGCAGGAUCCAGUGGUGCUUGAUCAGACAUGGAGAGGAGAUCCUGACAGUGAAGCUGACAGCAUAGACAGUGACCACGAAGACCCACUGAAGCAUGCUGGGGUGUACACUGCCGAAGAAGUUGCUCUGAUCACGCGUGAAAAGCUCAUCAGACUCCAGUCACUCUACAUAGACCAGUUUAAACGUUUGCAGCACUUGCUGAAGGAAAAAAAGAGACGCUAUUUACAUAGCCGAAAGAUUGAGCAUGACACGAUAGGCAGCAGUCUUUUAACAGGACCUGAGGGUAUGUCCAUAAAAGAGAGGGAAAAUCUGAGGAAGUUAAAAGCGUUACGUCGCUACCGGCGUCGCUAUGGAGUAGAUGCUCUGCUACACCGGCAACUGAGGGAGCGCAGACAGGCUGUUACUGAGGGAGGAACUCCACAGGCGAAUUCAGUACGCACAAGCCAGAGAUGCAUUUCCUUUGUGGAGGGGACGCGGUGUUCAAACCCCUGUCUGCCAAUGACCAGACACUGCGUUUCACAUAUUUACCAAGACAGUAGCCAGGUGCUGUUUAGGAUGUGCCCAGGCCUAAAGGACGUGCCCUGUGACAGGCCGGUGCACAUGGGCCAGUCAGAGGAGCCACGAUGCCCGCUGCAUCUCUCUCUGCCACCCCCCAUGUACCAGCCCGAGCAGGAGAUACUGGCACCGGAGCAGAUAUCAUUAGCCCCAACAGACAUGUACCUAAGCGCCGCCGAGCUUCAGCCCACAGAGAGCCUGCCCCUCGAGUUCAGCGAUGUACGAUUAACUUCAUUUGGCGUCGUUGGUCAUCUAGGAUGUCUGUUUAAAUGACAGGAAUACAGGAUCUGGAUGUGGUAGGUGACGAGGAGAUGCAGUGCCCUCCAUCACCGCUGCUCUUUGAUACCGCCCUGGCUUUGGAAGACCAGACCAUCCGUGCCAUUGCUGAAGCUCCUAUGGACAUCCUGACCUCAGAACAGGACCCCGAGCUCUCGGAGACAGACGACAUGUCUGUAGCAGACCAGGCAGUGUCGGAAUUAUCUGAAACAGCGGGAGACGAGGAUGCCACACAGAAUUCAUCAAAGGACCCUUAUACAAUAACAACAGUUGCCACAUCCUGAGCACCUUGUGCACUGAUUUUCUCAGCUGUCUGUAGACUUUUUCAGAACCUUCCGCACUAGUGUCCCAUCAGAAGCCAUAUUUCACAAAGCCGACUUUUUGCUGAGGAAGCAUCACACCCGAUAUAUAGACAAUGUUACGAAGUACGUUUCAAAUGCUUAUCGUAGGAGUGAAAAUACAUUACAUGAAUAUGAAUCACACAAAUAUAUUUUCUUUGGAAAUAAAACAAACUGUAUCGCCCUGGUCUGGAA